AUAUCAGUCAUGCAUAGCAUAUCAAUAAGCGGAGGAAAAGAAACUAACAAGGAUUCCCCUAGUAACGGCGAGUGAAGCGGGAAGAGCUCAAAUUUGAAAUCUUAAAGGGUUUCCCUUUACGAAUUGUAGUUUAAAGAAGUGUUUUCUGUUGGAGUUUCGGUAAAAGUUCUUUGGAAUAGGACAUCAUAGAGGGUGAGAAUCCCGUAUUUGACCGUUACUUUCCAGCUUUGUGAUACACUUUCAAAGAGUCGGAUUGUUUGGGAAUGCAGUCCAAAAUGGGUGGUAAAUUUCAUCUAAAGCUAAAUACUGGCGAGAGACCGAUAGCGAACAAGUACCGUGAGGGAAAGAUGAAAAGAACUUUGAAAAGAGAGUUAAACAGUACGUGAAAUUGUCAAAAGGGAAGCGUUUGACACCAGUGUUGUUUUUCCGAAAAUCAAUUACGAAUGUUUUAGUUUUUGAGGAGUUAUGACUUCAUCGGCUUGCUUCUCUCUUUAUGAAACUUUCUUAAUGCACUUUUCGGUUAACAAGUCAACAUCAAUUUCUUUUGUUGUAAAAGGGUAUGAGGAAGGUGGCUUUCUUUUCGGAGAAAGUGUUUAUAGCCUUGUGCCUCUGCAAUCGGAGAGAUUGAGGUCUGCAGCGUAGAUCCUUCGGGGUUAGAUACGUUUGUGCUAAGUUAUAGCUUUUCAUAGACAACUUGUUGACUAUGUUUAGUCUUGUAGCUUACUCGCUUAUGCUAUUUUACCUACGCUUAGGAUGUUGAUGUGAUACUGCGAGCA
rnacentral:rRNA from 1 species